rnacentral:rRNA from 1 species
UAACCUACCUAUAAGACGUGGGACAACGUUACGGGAAACCGGAGCUAAUACCGGAUAAGAUAUCGAACCGCAUGGUUCGAUAGUGAAAGAUGGUUUUGCUAUCACUUAUAGAUGGACCCGCGCCGUAUUAGCUAGUUGGUGAGGUAACGGCNUCACCAAGGCAACGAUACGUAGCCGACCUGAGAGGGUGAUCGGCCACACUGGAACUGAGACACGGUCCAGACUCCUACGGGAGGCAGCAGGA